rnacentral:rRNA from 1 species
GAUGAACGCUGGCGGCGUGCCUAAUACAUGCAAGUCGAGCGAAUGAAUUGAGAGCUUGCUCUUAUGAAGUUAGCGGCGGACGGGUGAGUAACACGUGGGUAACCUGCCCAUAAGACUGGGAUAACUCCGGGAAACCGGGGCUAAUACCGGAUAACAUUUUGAACCGCAUGGUUCGAAAUUGAAAGGCGGCUUCGGCUGUCACUUAUGGAUGGACCCGCGUCGCAUUAGCUAGUUGGUGAGGUAACGGCUCACCAAGGCAAAGAUGCGUAGCCGACCUGAGAGGGUGAUCGGCCACACUGGGACUGAGACACGGCCCAGACUCCUACGGGAGGCAGCAGUAGGGAAUCUUCCGCAAUGGACGAAAGUCUGACGGAGCAACGCCGCGUGAGUGAUGAAGGCUUUCGGGUCGUAAAACUCUGUUGUUAGGGAAGAACAAGUGCUAGUUGAAUAAGCUGGCACCUUGACGGUACCUAACCAGAAAGCCACGGCUAACUACGUGCCAGCCGCCGCGGUAA